UACGUAGGAGGCGAGCGUUGUCCGGAUUUACUGGGUGUAAAGGGUCCGCAGGCGGGUAUUUAAGUCGGUGGUGAAAUCCUUCAGCUUAACUGAAGAGCUGCCUCCGAUACUGAAUAUCUUGAAUACGGGAGAGGGUGACGGAAUUCCAGGUGUAGCGGUGAAAUGCUUAGAUAUCUGGAAGAACACCGGUUGCGAAGGCUGUUGCCUGGCCCGUUAUUGACGCUCAUGGACGAAAGCGUGGGGAUCAAACAGG
rnacentral:rRNA from 1 species